rnacentral:pre_miRNA from 1 species
CACAUACUCCCUCUGUUCGGAAUUACUUGUCACAAAAAUGGAUGUAUCUACAACUAAAAUACAUCUAGAUACAUUCAUUUCUUGGACGAGUAAUUCCGAACAGAGAAAGUACAUU